rnacentral:rRNA from 1 species
CCAGACUCCUACGGGAGGCAGCAGUGGGGAAUAUUGGGCAAUGGGCGCAAGCCUGACCCAGCAACGCCGCGUGAAGGAAGAAGGCUUUCGGGUUGUAAACUUCUUUUGACAGGGAAGAGCAGAAGACGGUACCUGUCGAAUAAGCCACGGCUAACUACGUGCCAGCAGCCGCGGUAAUACGUAGGUGGCAAGCGUUGUCCGGAUUUACUGGGUGUAAAGGGCGUGUAGCCGGGCUUACAAGUCAGAUGUGAAAUCCGGGGGCUCAACCCCCGAACUGCAUUUGAAACUGUAGGUCUUGAGUAUCGGAGAGGCAGGCGGAAUUCCUAGUGUAGCGGUGAAAUGCGUAGAUAUUAGGAGGAACACCGGCGGCGAAGGCGGCCUGCUGGACCGUAACUGACGUUGAGGCUCGAAAGCGUGGGGAGCAAACAGGAUUAGAUACCCCCGUACGA